rnacentral:lncRNA from 1 species
GGGGGUGUCGAGGCGGCUGGCGGAGGAUUGGUGGUGGCAGGAGGGAGGGCGGUGAUUGGGCAGUGCAUGAGGUGGAGAGGAGGGCAAGGGAGAUGGCUAGAGCUAGAGUUGGUGUGUGGAACGCCAUGGCUCUUCUUUGUUUCACUUACUCUCAGAUGAGGUGAGGAAGAGAGAAUAUAUAAGUGUUUGUUGUGUUAGAAUGGAAGACUGAUAGCCUUUGGUAAUAUAUAUAGUGAGAAGUGUAGAGAUCUAGAGGGAGAGAGAGGCAGCGAGGCAAAAGGUGGGGGAUGGCAGUGAUAGCUGUAAGGUUUUGUGGUGGCACCCCCAACUUGUC